rnacentral:misc_RNA from 1 species
GAUGAAGAACGCAGCGAAAUGCGAUAAGUAGUGUGAAUUGCAGAAUUCAGUGAAUCAUCGAAUCUUUGAACGCACAUUGCGGCCAUAGGUAUUCCUUUGGCCAUGCCUGUUCGAGCGUCAUUUACACCCUCAAGCCUAGCUUGGUGUUGGGCGUCUGUCCCGCCGUUCUCGCGCGCGGACUCGCCUCAAAGUCAUUGGCGGCGGUCGUGCCAGCCCCCUCGCGCAGCACAUUUGCGCUUCUCGGAGGCCCGGCGGAUCCGCGCUCCAGCAAGACCUUUCACGACUUGACCUCGGAUCAGGUAGGGAUACCCGCUGAACUUAAGCAUAUCAAUAAGCGGAGGA